GAUGAACGCUGGCGGCGUGCCUAAUACAUGCAAGUCGAGCGAACAGAUGAGGAGCUUGCUCCUCUGACGUUAUCGGCGGACGGGUGAGUAACACGUGGAUAACCUACCUAUAAGACUGGGAUAAAUUCGGGAAACCGGAGCUAAUACCGGAUAAUAUAUUGAACCGCAUGGUUCAAUAGUAAAAUACGAUUUUGCUGUUACUUGUAGAUGCAUCCGCGCCUCAUUAGGUAGUUGGUAAGGUAACGGCUUACCAAGACAAUGAAGCGUAGCCGACCUGAGAGGGUGAUCGGCCACACUGGAACUGAGACACGGUCCAGACUCCUACGGGAGGCAGCAGUAGGGAAUCUUCCGCAAUGGGCGAAAGCCUGACGGAGCAACGCCGCGUGAGUGAUGAAGUUCUUCGGAUCGUAAAACUCUGUUAUUAGGGAAGAACAAAUGUGUAAGUAACUAUGCACGUCUUGACGGUACCUAAUCAGAAAGCCACGGCUAACUACGUG
rnacentral:rRNA from 1 species